AAAGUUAUAGGGUCAAGUGACUAAGUGCAUGU
rnacentral:rRNA from 1 species